GAUGUGGCUCAGUGGUAGAGCACUGGCCUAUCAUGUUCGAGGCCCUGGGUUCAACUCCCAGUACA
rnacentral:tRNA from 1 species